rnacentral:rRNA from 1 species
UACGGAGGUGGCAAGCGUUGCUCGGAAUCACUGGGCGUAAAGGGCGCGUAGGCGGCGGGGUAAGUCUGGUGUGAAAUCUAGGAGCUCAACUCCUAAACUGCACUGGAUACUGCUCUGCUAGAGGACUGGAGAGGAGACUGGAAUUCACGGUGUAGCAGUGAAAUGCGCAGAUAUCAGGAAGAACACCUAUGGCGAAGGCAGCUCUCUGGGACGGUACUGACGCUGAGACGCGAAAGCGUGGGGAGCGAACAGG